UACGAAGGGGGCUAGCGUUGUUCGGAAUCACUGGGCGUAAAGGGUGCGUAGGCGGGUCUUUAAGUCAGGGGUGAAAUCCUGGAGCUCAACUCCUGAACUGCCUUUGAUACUGAAGAUCUUGAGUUCGGGAGAGGUGAGUGGAACUGCGAGUGUAGAGGUGAAAUUCGUAGAUAUUCGCAAGAACACCAGUGGCGAAGGCGGCUCACUGGCCCGAUACUGACGCUGAGGCACGAAAGCGUGGGGAGCAAACAGG
rnacentral:rRNA from 1 species